rnacentral:rRNA from 1 species
UACGGGGGGGGCAAGCGUUGUUCGGAAUUACUGGGCGUAAAGGGCGCGUAGGCGGCUUAUCAAGUCAGGCGUGAAAUUCCCGGGCUCAACCUGGGGGCUGCGCUUGAUACUGAUGAGCUUGAAUGCGGGAGAGGAUAGUGGAAUUCCCAGUGUAGAGGUGAAAUUCGUAGAUAUUGGGAAGAACACCGGUGGCGAAGGCGGCUAUCUGGCCCGUAAUUGACGCUGAGGCGCGAAAGCGUGGGGAGCAAACAGG